AGCUCCAAUAGCGUAUAUUAAAGUUGCUGCAGUUAAAAAGCUCGUAGUUGGAUUUCUGGUAUGAUGUAUCUGUCCCGCCACGGUAACGUGUGUGAGUGACGGUAUAUGUCUGCCAUCCUUCUAGAGGAAAGUGUUGGCCUUUACUGGUUCGAUAAUAUUAAUCUAGAUCUUUUACUUUGAAAAAAUUAGAGUGUUUCAAGCAGGCAAUUGCUAUGAAUACAUUAGCAUGGAAUAAUAAGUUAGGACUUCGGUUCUAUUUUGUUGGUUUCUAGAGCUGAAGUAAUGAUUGAUAGGGAUAGUUGGGGGUGCUAGUAUUCAGCGGCCAGAGGUGAAAUUCUUGGAUUCGCUGAAGACUAACUUAUGCGAAAGCAUUCACCAAGGAUGUCUUCU
rnacentral:rRNA from 1 species